rnacentral:miRNA from 1 species
CAACCAUCCCUCCUCAAACAUG